rnacentral:rRNA from 1 species
GGGUUGUGAGGUUAAGCGACUAAGCGUACACGGUGGAUGCCCUGGCAGUCAGAGGCGAUGAAGGGCGUGCUAAUCUGCGAUAAGCGCCGGUAAGGUGAUAUGAACCGUUAUAACCGGCGAUACCCGAAUGGGGAAACCCAGUGUGAUUCGUCACACUAUCAUUAACUGAAUCCAUAGGUUAAUGAGGCGAACCGGGGGAACUGAAACAUCUAAGUACCCCGAGGAAAAGAAAUCAACCGAGAUUCCCCCAGUAGCGGCGAGCGAACGGGGAGGAGCCCAGAGCCUGAAUCAGCAUGUGUGUUAGUGGAAGCGUCUGGAAAGGCGCGCGAUACAGGGUGACAGCCCCGUACACAAAAGCGCAUGUGCUGUGAGCUCGAUGAGUAGGGCGGGACACGUGGUAUCCUGUCUGAAUAUGGGGGGACCAUCCUCCAAGGCUAAAUACUCCUGACUGACCGAUAGUGAACCAGUACCGUGAGGGAAAGGCGAAAAGAACCCCGGCGAGGGGAGUGAAAAAGAACCUGAAACCGUGUACGUACAAGCAGUGGGAGCCCCACCACUAAGCCAGUGGUGAACUCCACAUACGCAUCCUUUGCUGAAGGCAAUGGUUAACGGAGCGAAAGCGACGUUCAACCGCAAAACAAGCAGAGGGGGCUUAGUGGUGGGGUGACUGCGUACCUUUUGUAUAAUGGGUCAGCGACUUAUAUUCUGUAGCAAGGUUAACCGUAUAGGGGAGCCGGAGGGAAACCGAGUCUUAAUUGGGCGUUAAGUUGCAGGGUAUAGACCCGAAACCCGGUGAUCUAGCCAUGGGCAGGUUGAAGGUUGGGUAACACUAACUGGAGGACCGAACCGACUAAUGUUGAAAAAUUAGCGGAUGACCUGUGGCUGGGGGUGAAAGGCCAAUCAAACCGGGAGAUAGCUGGUUCUCCCCGAAAGCUAUUUAGGUAGCGCCUCGUGAAUUCAUCUCCGGGGGUAGAGCACUGUUUCGGCUAGGGGGCCAUCCCGGCUUACCAACCCGAUGCAAACUGCGAAUACCGGAGAAUGUUAUCACGGGAGACACACGGCGGGUGCUAACGUCCGUCGUGAAGAGGGAAACAACCCAGACCGCCAGCUAAGGUCCCAAAGUCAUGGUUAAGUGGGAAACGAUGUGGGAAGGCCCAGACAGCCAGGAUGUUGGCUUAGAAGCAGCCAUCAUUUAAAGAAAGCGUAAUAGCUCACUGGUCGAGUCGGCCUGCGC